rnacentral:rRNA from 1 species
UUACGCUGGCGGCGUGCCUAACACAUGCAAGUCGAACGAGGGUAGCAAUACCCUAGUGGCAGACGGGUGAGUAACGCGUGGUCAACCUACCGUUGAGUGGGGGAUAACUCGCCGAAAGGCGAGCUAAUACCGCAUACGUCUCCGAGAGGCAUCUCUCGGCGAUAAAAGGAGCAAUCCGCUCGAUGACGGGACCGCGUCCCAUUAGCUAGAUGGUGGGGUAAUGGCCUACCAUGGCACCGAUGGGUAGCUGGUUUGAGAGAGCGACCAGCCACACUGGGACUGAGAAACGGCCCAGACUCCUACGGGAGGCAGCAGUGAGGAAUUUUCCGCAAUGGGCGAAAGCCUGACGGAGCGACGCCGCGUGUGGGAAGAAGGCCUUCGGGUCGUAAACCACUGUCGAAGGGGAAGAUCAUGACGGUACCCUUGGAGGAAGCCCCGGCUAACUACGUGCCAGCAGCCGCGGUAAGACGUANGGGGCAAGCGUUAUUCGGAAUCAUUGGGCGUAAAGCGCUCGUANGCGGAUCAGGAAGUCGGUGAAGAAAGACCUGGGCUCAACU